CAGCCGCCGCGGUAAUACGAAGGGGGCUAGCGUUGUUCGGAAUAACUGGGCGUAAAGGGCGCGUAGGCGGAUCUUUAAGUCAGGGGUGAAAUCCCAAGGCUCAACCUUGGAACUGCCUUUGAUACUGGAGAUCUUGAGUCCGGGAGAGGUGAGUGGAACUGCGAGUGUAGAGGUGAAAUUCGUAGAUAUUCGCAAGAACACCAGUGGCGAAGGCGGCUCACUGGCCCGGUACUGACGCUGAGGCGCGAAAGCGUGGGUAGCGAACAGGAUUAGAUACCCGGGUAGUCCCUGUCUCUUAUAC
rnacentral:rRNA from 1 species